UACGUAGGGUGCGAGCGUUAAUCGGAAUUACUGGGCGUAAAGUGUGCGCAGGCGGCCGCGCAAGUCGAGUGUGAAAUCCCCGAGCUUAACUUGGGAAUUGCGCUCGAAACUACGUGGCUGGAGUGUGGCAGAGGAAGGUGGAAUUCCACGUGUAGCGGUGAAAUGCGUAGAUAUCGGGAGGAACACCUGUGGCGAAAGCGGCGCACUGGACCAUAACUGACGCUGAUGCGCGAAAGCUAGGGGAGCAAACAGG
rnacentral:rRNA from 1 species